UUAAGCGACUAAGCGUACACGGUGGAUGCCCUGGCAGUCAGAGGCGAUGAAGGACGUGCUAAUCUGCGAAAAGCGUCGGUAAGGUGAUAUGAACCGUUAUAACCGGCGAUGUCCGAAUGGGGGAAACCCAGUGUGAUUCGUCACACUAUCGUUAACUGAAUACAUAGGUUAACGAGGCGAACCGGGGGAACUGAAACAUCUAAGUACCCCGAGGAAAAGAAAUCAACCGAGAUUCCCCCAGUAGCGGCGAGCGAACGGGGAGCAGCCCAGAGUCUGAAUCAGCUUGUGUGUUAGUGGAACGGUCUGGAAAGUCCGACGGUACAGGGUGAUAGUCCCGUACACCAAAAUGCACAGGUUGUGAACUCGAAGAGUAGGGCGGGACACGUGGUAUCCUGUCUGAAUAUGGGGGGACCAUCCUCCAAGGCUAAAUACUCCUGACUGACCGAUAGUGAACCAGUACCGUGAGGGAAAGGCGAAAAGAACCCCGGCGAGGGGAGUGAAAAAGAACCUGAAACCGUGUACGUACAAGCAGUGGGAGCACCUUCGGGUGUGACUGCGUACCUUUUGUAUAAUGGGUCAGCGACUUAUAUUCUGUAGCAAGGUUAACCGUAUAGGGGAGCCGCAGGGAAACCGAGUCUUAACUGGGCGUUAAGUUGCAGGGUAUAGACCCGAAACCCGGUGAUCUAGCCAUGGGCAGGUUGAAGGUUGGGUAACACUAACUGGAGGACCGAACCGACUAAUGUUGAAAAAUUAGCGGAUGACUUGUGGCUGGGGGUGAAAGGCCAAUCAAACCGGGAGAUAGCUGGUUCUCCCCGAAAGCUAUUUAGGUAGCGCCUCGUGAAUUCAUCUUCGGGGGUAGAGCACUGUUUCGGCUAGGGGGUCAUCCCGACUUACCAACCCGAUGCAAACUACGAAUACCGAAGAAUGUUAUCACGGGAGACACACGGCGGGUGCUAACGUCCGUCGUGAAGAGGGAAACAACCCAGACCGCCAGCUAAGGUCCCAAAGUCAUGGUUAAGUGGGAAACGAUGUGGGAAGGCACAGACAGCCAGGAUGUUGGCUUAGAAGCAGCCAUCAUUUAAAGAAAGCGUAAUAGCUCACUGGUCGAGUCGGCCUGCGCGGAAGAUGUAACGGGGCUAAACCAUGCACCGAAGCUGCGGCAGCGACACUAUGUGUUGUUGGGUAGGGGAGCGUUCUGUAAGCCUGCGAAGGUGACCUGUGAGGGUUGCUGGAGGUAUCAGAAGUGCGAAUGCUGACAUAAGUAACGAUAAAGCGGGUGAAAAGCCCGCUCGCCGGAAGACCAAGGGUUCCUGUCCAACGUUAAUCGGGGCAGGGUGAGUCGACCCCUAAGGCGAGGCCGAAAGGCGUAGUCGAUGGGAAACAGGUUAAUAUUCCUGUACUUGGUGUUACUGCGAAGGGGGGACGGAGAAGGCUAUGUUAGCCGGGCGACGGUUGUCCCGGUUUAAGCAUGUAGGCUGAUUGUCCAGGCAAAUCCGGAUAAUCAAGGCUGAGGUGUGAUGACGAGGCACUACGGUGCUGAAGUAACAAAUGCCCUGCUUCCAGGAAAAGCCUCUAAGCAUCAGGUAACAUCAAAUCGUACCCCAAACCGACACAGGUGGUCAGGUAGAGAAUACCAAGGCGCUUGAGAGAACUCGGGUGAAGGAACUAGGCAAAAUGGUGCCGUAACUUCGGGAGAAGGCACGCUGGUGUGUAGGUGAAGCCCCUGCGGGUGGAGCUGAGACCAGUCGAAGAUACCAGCUGGCUGCAACUGUUUAUUAAAAACACAGCACUGUGCAAACACGAAAGUGGACGUAUACGGUGUGACGCCUGCCCGGUGCCGGAAGGUUAAUUGAUGGGGUUAUCCGUAAGGAGAAGCUCUUGAUCGAAGCCCCGGUAAACGGCGGCCGUAACUAUAACGGUCCUAAGGUAGCGAAAUUCCUUGUCGGGUAAGUUCCGACCUGCACGAAUGGCGUAAUGAUGGCCAGGCUGUCUCCACCCGAGACUCAGUGAAAUUGAACUCGCUGUGAAGAUGCAGUGUACCCGCGGCAAGACGGAAAGACCCCGUGAACCUUUACUAUAGCUUGACACUGAACAUUGAGCCUUGAUGUGUAGGAUAGGUGGGAGGCUUUGAAGCGUGGACGCCAGUCUGCGUGGAGCCAACCUUGAAAUACCACCCUUUAAUGUUUGAUGUUCUAACGUUGGCCCCUUACCGGGGUUGCGGACAGUGUCUGGUGGGUAGUUUGACUGGGGCGGUCUCCUCCCAAAGCGUAACGGAGGAGCACGAAGGUUAGCUAAUCCUGGUCGGACAUCAGGAGGUUAGUGCAAUGGCAUAAGCUAGCUUGACUGCGAGCGUGACGGCGCGAGCAGGUGCGAAAGCAGGUCAUAGUGAUCCGGUGGUUCUGAAUGGAAGGGCCAUCGCUCAACGGAUAAAAGGUACUCCGGGGAUAACAGGCUGAUACCGCCCAAGAGUUCAUAUCGACGGCGGUGUUUGGCACCUCGAUGUCGGCUCAUCACAUCCUGGGGCUGAAGUAGGUCCCAAGGGUAUGGCUGUUCGCCAUUUAAAGUGGUACGCGAGCUGGGUUUAGAACGUCGUGAGACAGUUCGGUCCCUAUCUGCCGUGGGCGCUGGAGAAUUGAGGGGGGCUGCUCCUAGUACGAGAGGACCGGAGUGGACGCAUCACUGGUGUUCGGGUUGUCAUGCCAAUGGCACUGCCCGGUAGCUAAAUGCGGAAGAGAUAAGUGCUGAAAGCAUCUAAGCACGAAACUUGCCCCGAGAUGAGUUCUCCCUGAGACUUUAAGUCUCCUGAAGGAACGUUGAAGACGACGACGUUGAUAGGCCGGGUGUGUAAGCGCAGCGAUGCGUUGAGCUAACCGGUACUAAUGAACCGUGAGGCUUAACCUU
rnacentral:rRNA from 1 species